rnacentral:rRNA from 1 species
CAGCCGCCGCGGUAAUACGGAGGGGGCUAGCGUUAUUCGGAAUUACUGGGCGUAAAGCGCGCGUAGGCGGCUUCGCAAGUCAGAGGUGAAAGCCUGGAGCUCAACUCCAGAAUUGCCUUUGAGACUGCGUCGCUCGAAUCCGGGAGAGGUGAGUGGAAUUCCGAGUGUAGAGGUGAAAUUCGUAGAUAUUCGGAAGAACACCAGUGGCGAAGGCGGCUCACUGGACCGGCAUUGACGCUGAGGUGCGAAAGCGUGGGGAGCAAACAGGAUUAGAUACCCCCGUAGUCCCUGUCUCUUAUAC